GCAGAGAGAGGGAGACAAGCGGAGGCUGGGGGCUGGUGGACUCAUCGAGCUGCAAAGCACAAUCAGGCCAAUGCUAAACUCUUCUGGCUGUCCAAAAGAUGCCGUGGUCCAGAUAACCUGCUCUGGAUCUGCAGGCUGUGCUUUGCAGAAGAUUCAUUCUUAAUAGAGAAAAGCACAGCCAAUGAGGCUACGUUCUCCUGUUUUUACACUUACUAAAGUAAAAGAAAAAAUAAGAGAGAAAAACAACCCUACAGACAGACAUGAAGAACAGAAGCAUGUCAGUGAGCGUCUGAAGAUACCACAGUAAGAAGAACUUGACCUAAGGUUCUAAAGAGUGUCUUAUCAGCUGGGGAGGACUGAUAGAGCAGGAUUGAUGGCACUGAAGUGCUUCCUGGUAAUGACCUUUCUUCAGCCAUUUGCUUUUCUUUCACAAAGUCUUUGGUAGCCUAACAACAAUGGGAACUAUUGUUUAGAUAACUGUGAUUUUGCUUCUUCCUUUUAUCAAAGGUUUUUAAAAACUGAAAACAGAGUUAAUGGCAGAUCUUGGAGUGUUCCAUAAAUAACACAUACAGACCAGGUACAAGAAAGCAGUGAUUCUGGAAGAUUUAUAGAAUUGAAUCACUUCUGUAUGCUGUUGAUUUCCUGACGCUGCUCCUAUGAAUCUGUCCCUUAGUGUUUAUGAAGUAUUUUCAGAAAGUAAGUUUGUACACCAAUGUUAAUUGUAAUUAUUUUAAUUAUCCUUUUUGAGGAUUCUCUUGCUUUGUCUUCACAUGGCAUAUGCAUGUAAAAGUGUGAAAUUGAGACACAUGCAAGGAAUUUUGGAAAAUGUUGUAUGUAAUGUAAGAUUUUUUACUAGGAUCUGUGCAUCAACCAGGGCCAUGGUCAUCAUGUAGUGGAGCAAGUAUCAGCAUCAGCUUCAUCUUAAAAUUCUUAAUUUUCUCUGCUUUUCUUACUUUAAUAUAGAUAUUCUUUCCUUUUUUAUUUUUAUGAUACUAAUAAAAAAGCAGGAAAAAAAAAAUUCAUUGGAAAUAUUUGAAAUAUUCUCCACUGGAAAAAUAAUAUCCUGCAAUAGAUGGAUGACCAUGUAAACACACCUCUGCCUAGCACAACAAAACCAGCCUGGAUUCAUGGCUAUGACUUCAGAUGGCAUAUGGGAGAGGCAGAAGGACUUUUGCAGGGGAUUAAGACACCAGGUUUGAACCUCGAGGGAUGCUGGCUCCAGUUCAGGCUCUAGCUGGGAGGCCAAAUAAGUAUGGUGGUCUCAUUAGUCCUCAUUACAAAAAUUGACCACAUGAUUUGGUACCAUCGGCAGCUCUUUGCUAGAUAAAUCCUGGACUAGAAUUAACAAGGUUUACUGCAAGCUAGACCUGAGGUAUGUUGACAGGGAGAAGUUUGCAGAAAGCCUGGUUGUACCGAAGCCAGUGUUAACAGUCUUUUUACUUUUAUUUGCUCUGAAUUCAUUCAUAUAUUUGCAAUCAAAAUGGUUUAGAAGUCUUAAAAAAAAAAAAUGAAG